CUUCCACUCUAAUCAGCAUAUCACUGGCAAGGAAGACCAAUAACUAUGCCCAAGGGCACUCUGUCACUGUCAGGGAAAUCAUUAAUUUAGUCUUGGACAGAAUUUACAAAUGGCUGAUGAGUGAAGAGACCUUUAAAAAUUCUUGGUUUUUCAUAACUUUGGAGGGGGAACAUAUUCUGGAUUUAUUUCCUGCUCAUGAAAGUUGCUGUUGAAUAAGGUAACUUGUCCAAGCUUACAUUCUCUAUUUACCUAGACCUCACAGCUGUAACUGAACUACAUGCCCCUAUAACUCCAUCCUCACCCCCUACACUGUCCUGAGACUGUCACUGUGUUUCUAGUAGAAAUUAAGAUAUAUAUUUUUCAGUAUUGAGCGCCCAAACUACACUAAACUUAACAUCUUUAUUAGAUAAAUAGUACUCCAUAACUAUCUCCCUUUGGUUGGAAAAUGCCUUUAAUGUGGAUCUGCCAGAAUUCCAGACCAAUCUUAAAUGUCAUCCUUUUAUAUUAAAGUUCCCUGUAACCAUGUAAACUACAGUCAUCUCUGCCUAGAAAGCUCAUGAUAAACAGCUUUCCAUAGAAGAGACUGUAGAGCUAACCAACCACAUGGUAUAAGGUGGCCCUCAUAAUAAAACAUACAUGGACUAAGAGAUGGACUGUGACUUUUGCCAUGUUAUAUGUAGUGGUGUUGUGGUUCUCAAAAGUGUUUAUUCUGCCUUCCCAUCAUCAAGUGUAGCAUUCAGUUUGCAUAUUGGUACCCUACUGGAUUCCAGGUUAGUAUUAAUAACCAGACUCCUACUGUGAUUGCUGGUGGAGACUUGGCCAAGGUAUAGCCAUUGCUGAAGAUUAGACUCACUUGAUCAUAUGUUUGCCCUAAUCUAUUUCAAUCAUGCCUAGGAAUGUGCAUAAUGGGUUGGACGAGGGAGAGUAUGCUGGACAUUUAAGAACAUUGCCAUCCCAGAAAAGAUAUUGAGGAAUUUCUUUGGUGUGUGUAGGGUCUGUUGAUGGAGACAGGAAGGGGAGGAG
rnacentral:lncRNA from 1 species